rnacentral:rRNA from 1 species
CCACCCCCCAGGUCUUCUGAGUUUCGCUCUCACCCUUUGUGAAAUACCUAUAACUGUUGCUUCAGCGGGUAAGGUCUCCGUGACCCUCCCGGCCUCCCGCCCCCGGGCGGGUCGGCGCCCGCCGGAGGAUAACCAAACUCUGAUUUAACGACGUUUCUUCUGAGUGGUACAAGCAAAUAAUCAAAACUUUUAACAACGGAUCUCUUGGUUCUGGCAUCGAUGAAGAACGCAGCGAAAUGCGAUAAGUAAUGUGAAUUGCAGAAUUCAAUGAAUCAUCGAAUCUUUGAACGCACAUUGCGCCCGCCAGCAUUCUGGCGGGCAUGCCUGUUCAAGCGUCAUUUCAACCCUCAAGCUCUGCUUGGUGUUGGGGCCCUACAACUGAUGUAAGCCCUCAAAGGUAGUGGCGGACCCUCCCGGAGCCUCCUUUGAUAAUAACUUUACAUCUCGAAUGAAAUCAAAAAGGAACUCUUGACAAAAAACCCCCAUUUUCCAAAAGUUUGACCUCGGAAUCAAGAAGGAAUUCCCCGCUAACCUUACCCUAUCUUAGGCAGAAGAACC